GGAGUCGGCCAGACAGUCGCUGUUCGCGGUUCACCCGCGGAUGGAGGAAAGUCCGGGCUCCUCAGGGCAGGGCGCCAGGUAACGCCUGGGAGGCGCGAGCCUACGGAAAGUGCCACAGAAAAUAUACCGCCUCGUCUCCUCGCGGGACGCGGUAAGGGUGAAAUGGUGCGGUAAGAGCGCACCGCGCUUCCGGCAACGGAAGUGGCAGGGAAAACCCCGCCCGGAGCAAGACCAAAUAGGGGGGCAUUCGGGCAACCGAAACGUGCGGCCCGCACGGCUCCCGGGUAGGUCGCUUGAGACGCGUGGCGACACGCGCCCCAGAUGAAUGACUGUCCACGACAGAACCCGGCUUAUCGGCCGACUCCUUUU
rnacentral:RNase_P_RNA from 1 species